AUUGAACGCUGGCGGCAGGCUUAACACAUGCAAGUCGAGCGAGCGGCGGCCGGGUGAGUAAUGUCUGGGAAACUGCCUGAUGGAGGGGGAUAACUACUGGAAACGGUAGCUAAUACCGCAUACCAUCGGAUGUGCCCAGAUGGGAUUAGCUAGUAGGUGGGGUAAAGGCUCACCUAGGCGACGAUCCCUAGCUGGUCUGAGAGGAUGACCAGCCACACUGGAACUGAGACACGGUCCAGACUCCUACGGUAGUCAACAGGUUUAGAUAUGGCACAAUGGGCGCAAGCCUGAUGCAGCCAUGCCGCGUGGAUGAAGAAGGCCUUCGGGUUGUAAAGUACUUUCAGCGGGGAGGCGUUGCCCGCAGAAGAAGCACCGGCUAACUCCGUGCCAGCAGCCGCGGUAAUAC
rnacentral:rRNA from 1 species